UCAAAUGUGCCUUUAACAAGUGGUGUAAAUAAAAACAAGAUUUUCCUUCUUCAACUUAGCCAAUUUAUUUGUCUGCAAAUCAAAUGGAAUUCCCCCCAAAUUGACACCCCAAACCCUCAUGACAUAUCUCAAAUUGAAACUUAUUCAUAUUGGGGGCAUAUCUCAAAUUAAAAGUGUGAAAAGCCAAACGCCUCAACUCCAAACCCUAAAUCCCAAAUCCAUUUCAUUCUCAUCGCUUUAUGCCCUUGAAAUCGCAAGAAGAUUUAGGCAAAAAACCAUUUACUUCAUUAAUCCAAAACUUGAAAUCGGUUUCCCCGUACCUGAAAUCGAUUUUCUCUAAUGUUGUGAUUCCAUUUUUACCAUACUUGACUUCCACAAACAGCUGGGAUUGAUUGCAGUUAUGUCAAGUGGAAUGACGAUUCAUCGGAGGAAAAGACUUUGCAAUUUGAAGUGUCGUGGACGAUCGAGAUGUGUUUGUUCGGGUUAAUCGAAGCGUAAAGAUCCGAUUGAAGAUUUGUCAUGUAUGUUGAAGAAAUGUGCUCAAAUAAUAGAACAAGAAGACAUCGAGAUAUCUCUCAACAUAAUAAUCCGCAACGAUACAGAGAGGAGAGAGGGAAAGGAAAGGGAAGAAUUUCGUGAAUUUCUUAUAGCUAUGUAAUUGAGUCAAUGACCUAUGUUGCAGUGGUCGAACUCAAUGUUUAUGUAAUAGGCUCUAAACUUGUUCUUAAUUUGCAACUUUCUAUGCUUUAUGAAUGGAUUGUUCAUGCUCUAGAUUACAAAGGUAUGAGCAGGUACUUCUACCG